CUGUAUCCACUGAUGGACUUUGAACAGUUAGUAGCUGCUCUUCUGGUUUACUCUAAGAUGUAAAAGAAAAUGCUCCCUGAGCUUUCUGUAUGCCUUUGUAGUCAAGAUUGAUGUGGGGAGUACGUCG
rnacentral:snoRNA from 1 species